rnacentral:lncRNA from 1 species
AGGAAAGCAUUCUGGGAAAUGUAGUUCCUGCUUCGCCUAGCGGGCUACAAAGAGCUGCACCGUCUGACAUUCAGAUGAUAAAUAGUUUGCACCUGAGCCAGGCUUGCGUUACUUCCGUGACUUCAGUCUUUGCUCUCCUACCCUCUCACUUACUAGCUGAGCGCUCUGGGGGAGGUUAUCUAACCUUCCUGAGCCUCGUAUUCCUCAUACCGAAAACGGAGGUAACCAGAGUAACUACAUCCAAAAAUUGAGAGAACUGAAUGAGAUAAAUAAGGCGAGGUGUUUUUAACACGUCCUGCACAUGAAUAUCUAAAGAGACAAAGUGUAAUAAUCCAAGAAUCUUCUAUUGUGAGAAUAAUGGAGAUUGACAUUGUGAAGUAUAUAGAAAAACAUAAAAGCCCCCCGGUACAUAGCUGUAUAUUCUUCGUUGUGGGUCCUUCUAGUUGUGGCAUGUGGGACGCUGCCUCAGCGUGGUUUGAUGAGCAGUGCCAUGUCCGCGCCCAGGAUUCGAACCAACGAAACUCUGGGCCGCCUGCAGCGGAGCGCGCGAACUUAACCACUCGGCCACGGGGCCAGCCCCUCAUGGCAUAUUUUAAUAUUUCAUAUAUGUAACAUCUGUAUAAUAGAUAAUUUAUAUUAUAUUUUUAUUAUUUCCAGGUGCAAAUGUCCUCUCUUUUUCUUUAAUUUUACUUUUUUUUAACUCAAAUCCCUACUUUUAUUCUGUUCCCUACCAUGGCCAGGGUCUAAUGUAUUUAAUGUGUAUCCUGUAUUUAAAUAUGUUUUGGUAAAAUGUUGAUUAACAGCAAGGAUGUAACUCAAUGGCAACUCUUAUACACAGUUGGAAUACGUUGAAAAUCAAUUUGGCACAAUCUCGUGAGAUUAAAUGUCCACAAGAUGAAUACUCCAGUAAUUCUAUUUUUAAUCUGCACCCAUUCCCCACCCCCAAAACAAUAUUCAUAAUAGUGCUAUCGAUAAUAAAAAGUUGGAAGCAAUUAAAAUGCCCAUUUUCGGGAGAAUGAGUUUUAUAGGCAGUGAAAAUGAACAACAUCUACCGAUACCAAUUUGGAUGAAAAUUAGAAAUAAUUGUGAGUGGAAAAAGCAAGUCAAAGAUGACAGUGGACACUGUAAUACCAUUUUAGAGAACUCAGAAAGUUAAAAGUGCAUGUUGCCUAGAGUUGCAUGUUUUAUGUGGCAAAGAUAAUAAAAGAAUGGCCAUGGAAUGAUGAAUAUAAAAUUCCUGACAGUGGCUCCUUGCUUGGUAGUGUGCAGAGGAUGGGAUAGGAAGACACAGAUAGCAGAAGGGGUGUUGGAAAUGCACUAGAUGUUAACUGGGGUGUUGAGUUUGGGGAGGGAUGUUUAUUUUGCUAUUAAGCUUUAUAAUUUAAAUAUGUGAUUAUAUUUUUAUAUAUGAUAUUGAUGUGUGUCAAAUAUUGCCUAAUAACAUUUUUAAAAAUGUAAUUACAAAAUUGACUUGUAAUUUUUAUGACUUUUGAUUAUAGAAUCAACCUUUGCAUCACGUUUCUUAAUUACGGUUUCAUAGACAUUUUAUCUUUAUUAAAAAGGGUUUCAUUUUCUGUUGAUCAGCUUCAUUAAAGUUAAUUGAUAUUUUACCA